rnacentral:rRNA from 1 species
UACGUAGGGGGCAAGCGUUAUCCGGAUUUACUGGGUGUAAAGGGAGCGUAGACGGUAAAGCAAGUCUGAAGUGAAAUGCCAGUGCUCAACACUGGAACUGCUUUGGAAACUGUUUGGCUGGAGUGCAGGAGAGGUAAGUGGAGUUCCAUGUGUAGCGGUGAAAUGCGUAGAGAUAUGGAGGAACACCAGUGGCGAAGGCGGCUUCCUGGUCUGCAACUGACACUGAGGCGCGAAGGCGUGGGGAGCAAACAGG